CAAAGUGAAGGAGCUCCAUGAACCUGCUGUGUCUGCCCCUUCAACACCACGUGCCUUUCACAGCUUAUUUUUAGACCAGUUGCAAAUCAUCUGAGCCAAAUUUGCAUGUUUUACACUCAGUCAACGCCCUCCUGAUGCUCGGAGCCAGUAUAAGUGCUCCAGGGCACUUGGCCCAGACUGGUGAUCAGGACAGGCACAAGCACACGUACCAAGAUGGUCUCACUGGCUGCCCUGCUCUGCCUCGUGGUGCUCUGGGUCCAGGGUUCCUCCGGGGAGAUUGUGCUGACUCAGACCCCAGAGUCCCUGGCAGUGUCUCCAGGAGAUCGAGUGACCAUCAAGUGCAAAGCCAGCUCCAGCCUUACUGCUGGUAGCUAUCAAGUGUUAUCCUGGUACCAGCAGAAACCUGGACAAGCUACAAAGCUCCUCAUCUAUGAUGCUGUCACCCGGCAAUCGGGAGUCCCAGCCCGGUUCAGCGGCAGUGGCUCUGGCACUGAUUUCACUCUGACGAUCAGCAGUGUUGAACCUGAAGAUGCUGGAGAUUAUUAUUGUCAACAGUACAAAAGCUCACCUCACACAGUGAUACAAACCCAUACAAAAACCUCCCCAAGCUGCCCAGCCCAGCACCACAGCUGCUUCCUGAAGAGACACGUGAUCGGCACAACUGCUCCACUCAGUACCAGCUCAGGGGUUUCCCCAGGACAUCACUGUCUGAGCUGCAGAUACCGUCACACUGCCCCUGUGGCCCAGCCUGCAGGACAGACCAGCCCAGCUGCACAGUCCAGGGGAGUCUGUUCCUAAGUCUGAGAUUUCACCUUGUCUGUACUAGGGGCUCAUUUCUUCUUCUAGUGGAAGAUUUAUUUUCUUCCUGAACACCAAGCGAUCCCUUUUCCUCCCCAUGCCACAAACACUGUGGCAGGCAGGGCCAGCCCGGGGCU